AUAUGAAUUUGGGGAGGGGGGCACAGUUCAGUCCAUGGCACCCAGUAAUGCAAGGGUCCCAGUGUGUGUUUGUGGAAUGAGGUCACUGCUUUUUAAAAGCUCACAGACUGGGAGGGAUUUUGAUCCAUGGGUCUGAAGGCAGUAGGGUUUGUAGUUCAGAGUCCUGGUUCUGGAGGAAACAGACCCAUUUGACUGAGUCCACCUCGGCCACUUACUAGCCCUACGGCCUUGGGCAGAUUACUUAACCUCUGUCUCUGAGCCAGCAUCCCCAUCUGCAAAAUCGGGGUAACCAAGUACGGUGGCUGUGAGGGUCAGACGAGGGCUUGCGCGGAAGCCCUUGGCACUGAGUCUGCGUCCCCUCCUGACGCUCAGUCAAUGCGAGUGAUUACCACUGCUUUUCAGUCUUCCCGGAGCCCCUUUGCCAGCUCUGUCCUCUGCUGCAGUCCCUUGUCUAGUCUCAGUAACAUCCUCACUCUUCCAAACGCCCUCCUCCCAGCCUCCUAGGACUCAGAAGGCAAGUGGGUAAUUAGAAAUAUUUCCUGUGUCUGGGGGCGAUGAGGCAGGCCUGUGGGGACAGCCCCCAUCCCCUGGUGAGUUGUGCUCUCCACUCACUCUCCAGACAAAGCAGUUGGUCCUUUCACCUCAGGCUGAACAUGUGUCCUCCAUCCCCUAACUUUUAAAACUGUUUAUUGUGAAUUAAUUUAACAAUUACAGAAUAGUUUCGAGGGUAGAACAAGGAACAUUUUGCCACAUUUCAUUAUUCAUUCUUUUCUUCCUCCCCUCCCUCCCCCCUCACCCCCUUGUCCCCCACCAGCCACGAACUGUUUGAGAAUUACCUGCCUACAUCGCGUCCCUUUACUCCCUAAAUGUAAUACUUUAGUGUACAUUUUCUAAGAACAAGGACAUUCUCUCAUAUGACCAGAGUAUUGUUAUCAAAUUCAGGAAAUGUAUAAUUUUAAUCAGUACAAUAGUACCUAAUCCACGGUUCAUGCUUCAAUUUUGCCAACUGUCCCAAUAAUGUUCUUUUCUGGUCUAGGAUACAAUCCAGGAUCACACACUACAGUUAAUAUCCUGUCUUUAGUCUCUUAUAAUGUGGAGCAAUUCCUUUGCCUUUCUUUGUCUUUUAUGAUGUUGACGUUUUUGAAGUGUUCAGUCCGGUCAUGUUGUAGAAUUCCCUCAAGUUGGUCCCUUACCAUUUGUUUAAAGUAAAAUGAGUUAAGAAGCCAUUUUCACAUUGCUUUUGGAUGUAGCUACUGAAUGCCCAGCCUUGCAUUAGGCUCUGUGAACCGGGAGCAUUAUAUAGCCUGGCUCUGACUUAGGACCUUAAGUCUGGGUUUGUGGGGACAGCAGUUACUGUCAGAAGGGCUUGAAGGGCCCCUGCGUGCUCGUGAUUAGCGGUCAGCUGUGCCGGCACCAGCAAGCUUGGAAAAUACAUCUCGGAUGGAUGCAGGAUGAGUCAGCAUUCUGCAAGUCUCCAAAGAUGCAGAAAAUGGCCCUGCACCUGUUCCAGCAUCCACUCAUCAACUUUGCCUGGCCUCCAGAGAUGUCCUAAAGUUCACACUCCAAACCAAAGUCCUGUUUUCUCUCAGAAACCUCCAGCAGGCUGCAGUCGUGGGUUCCAGCCUGUCCUUACUGCUGCUCUGCUCUGCGGCCUGGGUCUGUUCUCUCCCGCUCUGGGCCAGUGGUGGGAGGGGAGCCCCUCCUUGCUCUGCCAAGUGCCCCUGGCACUGGGAACAGGGAGGGAAAGAGUCACUGAGCCCUGAGUGUGGGAAGACAGCCAGCACCCUGGCCUGUGACGAGGUUAAGCCAACUUGGGGUGAUCUUCGUCGUGAUCUGGCAGACAACUCAUCAGACCUGGAGCUUUGCUUUUUCAUCUGUUUAACUUCUCUGUUGGAUGGUAUGUACUGUGAAAAACAGUGAAUCGUAAUCUCUAUUCAAACAACCGCGUAACAUCAGGGAACUAUCGUGCUAGUUGGAGGUAUUUUGUCAGACCAAAGCAAACAAUGCAAGAAUGUUAUAAGUGACAUCAGUCUUUACAGAACUUUGGCCAAGCAGGCUUUCCCUGUGAGAAACAAGAUAAAAUUGAUUUUCAUCUAGUCAUUAAGUCAUCACCAUUGUCUGCUGUGUUUUAACACUUAUAUUAACACUUCAAAGUGCUCUCCCUGGAGAUGCAGGCAUUCAUGUGAGAGAGACAUAGAGUCCCCUGCCUUUUUGGUUGUAAAUUAAUUAAAAUUAAAUAAAAUUGAAAAUUC
rnacentral:lncRNA from 1 species